UACGGGGGGAGCAAGCGUUGUUCGGAUUUACUGGGCGUAAAGGGCGCGUAGGCGGCCCUCCUUGUCGCGUGUGAAAGCCCCGGGCUCAACCUGGGAACGGCGCGCGAGACGGGGGGGCUGGAGUUCGGGAGAGGAGCGUGGAAUUCCCAGUGUAGAGGUGAAAUUCGUAGAUAUUGGGAAGAACACCGGUGGCGAAGGCGGCGCUCUGGACCGAGACUGACGCUGAGACGCGAAAGCGUGGGGAGCAAACAGG
rnacentral:rRNA from 1 species